rnacentral:rRNA from 1 species
GAUGAACGCUGGCGGCGUGCCUAAUACAUGCAAGUCGAGCGAACGGACGAGAAGCUUGCUUCUCUGAUGUUAGCGGCGGACGGGUGAGUAACACGUGGAUAACCUACCUAUAAGACUGGGAUAACUUCGGGAAACCGGAGCUAAUACCGGAUAAUAUUUUGAACCGCAUGGUUCAAAAGUGAAAGACGGUCUUGCUGUCACUUAUAGAUGGAUCCGCGCUGCAUUAGCUAGUUGGUAAGGUAACGGCUUACCAAGGCAACGAUGCAUAGCCGACCUGAGAGGGUGAUCGGCCACACUGGAGCUGAGACACGGUCCAGACUCCUACGGGAGGCAGCAGUAGGGAAUCUUCCGCAAUGGGCGAAAGCCUGACGGAGCAACGCCGCGUGAGUGAUGAAGGUCUUCGGAUCGUAAAACUCUGUUAUUAGGGAAGAACAUAUGUGUAAGUAACUGUGCACAUCUUGACGGUACCUAAUCAGAAAGCCACGGCUAACUACGUGCCAGCAGCCGCGGUAAUACGUAGGUGGCAAGCGUUAUCCGGAAUUAUUGGGCGUAAAGCGCGCGUAGGCGGUUUUUUAAGUCUGAUGUGAAAGCCCACGGCUCAACCGUGGAGGGUCAUUGGAAACUGGAAAACUUGAGUGCAGAAGAGGAAAGUGGAAUUCCAUGUGUAGCGGUGAAAUGCGCAGAGAUAUGGAGGAACACCAGUGGCGAAGGCGACUUUCUGGUCUGUAACUGACGCUGAUGUGCGAAAGCGUGGGGAUCAAACAGGAUUAGAUACCCUGGUAGUCCACGCCGUAAACGAUGAGUGCUAAGUGUUAGGGGGUUUCCGCCCCUUAGUGCUGCAGCUAACGCAUUAAGCACUCCGCCUGGGGAGUACGACCGCAAGGUUGAAACUCAAAGGAAUUGACGGGGACCCGCACAAGCGGUGGAGCAUGUGGUUUAAUUCGAAGCAACGCGAAGAACCUUACCAAAUCUUGACAUCCUUUGACAACUCUAGAGAUAGAGCUUUCCCCUUCGGGGGACAAAGUGACAGGUGGUGCAUGGUUGUCGUCAGCUCGUGUCGUGAGAUGUUGGGUUAAGUCCCGCAACGAGCGCAACCCUUAAGCUUAGUUGCCAUCAUUAAGUUGGGCACUCUAAGUUGACUGCCGGUGACAAACCGGAGGAAGGUGGGGAUGACGUCAAACCAUCAUGCCCCUUAUGAUUUGGGCUACACACGUGCUACAAUGGACAAUACAAAGGGCAGCGAAACCGUGAGGUCAAGCAAAUCCCAUAAAGUUGUUCUCAGUUCGGAUUGUAGUCUGCAACUCGACUACAUGAAGCUGGAAUCGCUAGUAAUCGUAGAUCAGCAUGCUACGGUGAAUACGUUCCCGGGUCU